rnacentral:rRNA from 1 species
AAACUCGACCUCAUGAAGUUGGAAUCGCUAGUAAUCGCGGGUCAGCUAUACCGCGGUGAAUACGUUCUCAAGUCUUGUACUCACCGCCCGUCAAGUCAGGGGAGCCGUGAGUACCCGAAAUCCCAGCUAGUCUGGGCUUAAGGUAAGCAUGGUAACAAGGACUAAGUCGUAACAAGGCACGGCUAGCGGAAGCUG